CUUCAGCUAUGGGUUACUACUGAUGCAGGAUCUUUUCCUGGUGCACCUCUCUUUUGUCUCUGCCCCUUCCUCCUGUCAAGAGCAAAAUGUCUUUCUCUGUGCUUAGUAGAGGUGCUGUGCAACACUGAAGAGCGGCAUCCUGAGCAAGUCCCUAGGGAACCAAGAGCUGUUUUUGGCAAGACUGUUGUUGCCCCGUUGGAAAUCACCAGGCUGCAUUCGAGCUGCUGAUACAGGCGUGCACUUGUGCCUUGGGCACACAGAUCUCAUCUGCCUGGUGAGACAGGAGGCAAAUUGAAAUCCAUAAAGCAGGAUUUAAACCGUUGAGGCAUUCCUAUUAAUUAGUCUCCUGAACGUAGAAAAGGCAGAGAGAACUUGCCCCGCUGAAGGCCUGGGAGGCUCCUGGAGCAGGGGGCUGUCAGUCACAGCGCAGCCGUGACUCAGCAGGGCUGCACAUCCCGGCACUGCAAAGCCAAGGCUUGCAGCCCUCACGCUGCACAAGGCCUGGGACAGCAGGUGAGAAGCAGCAUCCCAGCUCCACGGUCCCAAGGAUGAGGCAGGGUGUUGACCAGGACAGGGAGAUGCAGAUGGGGGGCAGCUCUUCCCCUUUUUGCCUAUUUGCCCGUGGCAAAU
rnacentral:lncRNA from 1 species